rnacentral:snRNA from 1 species
CCCGCUUCUCGGCCUUUUGGCUAAGAUCAAGUGUAGUAUUGCACUGUUUCCAGAUCUUUUAAUAAUAAUAUACAGCAACUGUCUCUUUAACACUCUUUACUCACUGAUAUUAAAUUACCCAUAAAAGAUAGUGGACUGUAA